GUUGUUAGAUGAAGUUCAAAUAUUUUCUAUGUUUGUGUUGUGUAGGUCAAAAAAUAAUAAACAAAGAUGACCAAGAGAUUAAUUUUAAGACACAUCAAUCUUCAUCAUCUUUAAAUAAAAAGGAUAAACAUUAUGGAUUUCCAUUAUCUCAAGCAAAAACAAAGAGUUCAAAAUAUUGGUGGUAAGAACUGUCAAAAACUUGUGAUAGCUAUGAUGAAGAGUUUUAUGACAAAUUCACUCAUGGCCAAAUCUAAUAUGGCAGCUGGAAAAGGCAAAGAAUCUUUUUAGUCUAACCAAGCUAUACAACUUAAUAAAAGUUUGUGCAUCGACUUCUCACGAAUUAUACACAGAGUCGAUUGUCGAUGCAAUAAUUGCUGAUUCGUGAAAGCGGGAAACUUUUGCUUGUCUUGAAGUGCCUUAAAUCCAACAGAUAUCAUCGUUAUAAUAUUACUUUGUUUGUAAAUUGUUUUAAAAAAUAAAUUUAAAAAUAACUUUUAAAUAAA